AUGGCGGCCGGGCGUGUGGCCUUCUCCUCCCGCGGGCAUGCGCCGACGGGAUUGCGGCAGCGCGGCGGUGUCGGAGCAGUUAUGGAUCCAGCUGCCUACGAUGAUUUGCUGUUAGUUGGUUCACUGUAUCAUGGGUUCAACAGAGGGAGGCACCUGCGUCUCUCAGCUACUCAGGGGUUUGAAGAGAGACGGUGGUUAAAUAACGAAGAAACCAGUGCUAUGAUGCUCAACCCGCAGAUCUUCAGAAACCCACAUGGUGUGUUACUCGAUGAUCAGGCAUUUACUGUGGACUGUUAUUCCCUGCUGGUUGAUAUGGAUGAGUAUAAUGGAAUGAUGGCACAUUCUGGCCCCAGAGCUCAGCAGCAGCAGUUCUGGCCUUACUAUGGUUCAGUUGAUCAUCAUAAUCCCAUGAAGCGGGAAUAUUUUGCUGGCAUAAGCAAGAAUCAUGCUGCACACAGAGGCUCUGAUAACGAAGAAAUCAUCUGCAAGAAGUAUGAAGUGAAAGGUGCAUACAGGUGCCGCCGGCGAACAAUCCUGCCAGAUAACCUUUUUGCUGUAACUGGCAUUCACCCCCCUUUCCCUAAUAUGAUGGUACUGCAAUACCAGCUUACUCCAGAUGCUCUUGUAGCGAACCGUCUGCACCAGGCUGACCUGAUGGCAAUUCAUGUCCAGCAGCGAAGGGAUGAGCUGGGCGAGGGUUUGAUACCUCUGUACGGCGGCCCUGCAAGGCCACCUGGUCUCCUCUAG
rnacentral:rRNA from 1 species